rnacentral:rRNA from 1 species
UACUGCUAUCAGUGUUCGAUUAAGCCAUGCGAGUUAAAUGUUCUUCGUGAACAUGGCGUACUGCUCAGUAACACGUGGAUAACCUGCCCUAAGGUCCGGCAUAACCCCGGGAAACUGGGGAUAAUACCGGAUAAACCAUAGAUACUGGAAUGUUCUGUGGUUAAAAGCUCCGGCGCCUUAGGAUGGAUCUGCGGCCUAUCAGGUAGUAGUGGGUGUAAAGUACCUACUAGCCGACGACGGGUACGGGUUGUGAGAGCAAGAGCCCGGAGAUGGAUUCUGAGACAUGAAUCCAGGCCCUACGGGGCGCAGCAGGCGCGAAAUCUUUACAAUGCGGGAAACCGCGAUAAGGGGACACCGAGUGCCAGCAUAUUAUGUUGGCUGUCCACCUGUAUAAAUCACAGGUGUUAGCAAGGGCCGGGCAAGACCGGUGCCAGCCGCCGCGGUAACACCGGCGGCCCGAGUGGUAGCCACUAUUAUUGGGUCUAAAGGGUCCGUAGCCGGUUUGAUCAGUCUUCCGGGAAAUCUGACAGCUCAACUG